rnacentral:lncRNA from 1 species
GGAAAUAGAUGUGCGGAUUGGCUAGCUAGUUUUAGUCUCAACCAGAGUUCAUAUGAUGUGAGAAUUUUGGAGGAUCCUCCUAGGGAACUCCAACAACUCCUCUUUGAUGAUGUAUCCGGGGCUUGCAUGCCUAGGAGUGUUAGAGUAGUUCUGUAGUUGUUCUUUCUCUUUGGGCUUUGCCCUCUUUACUCACCAAAAAAAAAA